CUUUCCCUCUGGCGGCAGGCCUAACACAUGCAAGUCGAGCGGAUGAAGGGAGCUUGCUCCUGGAUUCAGCGGCGGACGGGUGAGUAAUGCCUAGGAAUCUGCCUGGUAGUGGGGGAUAACGUCCGGAAACGGGCGCUAAUACCGCAUACGUCCUGAGGGAGAAAGUGGGGGAUCUUCGGACAUCACGCUAUCAGAUGAGACUAGGUCGGAUUAGCUAGUUGGUGGGGUAAAGGCCUACCAAGGCGACGAUCCGUAACUGGUCUGAGAGGCUGAUCUGUCACACUGGAACUGAGACACGGUCCAGACUCCUACGGGAGGCAGCAGUAGGGAAUAUUGGACAAUGGGCGAAAGCCUGAUCCAGCCAUGCCGCGUGUGUGAAGAAGGUCUUCGGAUUGUAAAGCUCUUUAAGUUGGGAGGAAGGUCAGUAAGUUAAUACCUUGCUGUUUUGACGGUACCAACAGAAUAAGCACCGGCUAACUUCGUG
rnacentral:rRNA from 1 species